ACUCCUACGGGAGGCAGUAGUGGGGAAUAUUGCACAAUGGGCGCAAGCCUGAUGCAGCCAUGCCGCGUGUGUGAAGAAGGCCUUCGGGUUGUAAAGCACUUUCAGUCGUGAGGAAGGUAGUGUAGUUAAUAGCUGCAUUAUUUGUACGUUAGCGACAGAAGAAGCACCGGCUAACUCCGUGCCAGCAGCCGCGGUAAUACGGAGGUGCGAGCGUUAAUCGGAAUUACUGGGCGUAAAGCGCAUGCAGGUGGUUUGUUAAGUCAGAUGUGAAAGCCCGGGGCUCAACCUCGGAAUAGCAUUUGAAACUGGCAGACUAGAGUACUGUAGAGGGGGUAGAAUUUCAGGUGUAGCGGUGAAAUGCGUAGAGAUCUGAAGGAAUACCGGUGGCGAAGGCGGCCCCUGGACAGAUACUGACACUCAGAUGCGAAAGCGUGGGAGCAAACAGGAUUAGAUACCCCUGGUAGACUGUC
rnacentral:rRNA from 1 species